GACGAACGCUGGCGGCGUGUCUAAUACAUGCAAGUAGGACGCAGUUGCGAACGGGUGAGUAACGCGUAGGUAACUACCUAUUAGAGGGGGAUAACUAUUGGAAACGCUAGCUAAUACCGCAUACUAGUAGAUGGACCUGCGUUGUAUUGGCUAGUAGGUAGGGUAAUGGCCUACCUAGGCAACGAUACAUAGCCGACUGGGGAGGGUGAUCCGCCAAACUGGGACGUGGACACGGCCCAGACUCCUACGGGAGGCAGCAGGAGGGAAUAUUCGGCAAUGGGGGGAACCCUGAACGAGCAACGGCGCGUGAGUGAAGAAGGUUUUCGGGUCGUAAAGCUCUGUUGUUAAGGAAGCGGUACUUAACCAGAAAGGGACGGCUAACUACGUGCCAGCAGCCGCGGUAAUAC
rnacentral:rRNA from 1 species